GAGCUACGACAGGGGAGCGCAUCAGCGCUGAGAGUGCGGAAAGGCCGCAGACCCUCGAACCUGCUCCGGUUAGGACCGGCGAAGGAAGUCGAGCUCUCCUCGGG
rnacentral:ncRNA from 1 species